GACGAACGCUGGCGGCGUGCUUAACACAUGCAAGUCGAACGGAAAGGCCCUGCUUUUGUGGGGUGCUCGAGUGGCGAACGGGUGAGUAACACGUGAGUAACCUGCCCUUGACUUUGGGAUAACUUCAGGAAACUGGGGCUAAUACCGGAUAGGAGCUCCUGCUGCAUGGUGGGGGUUGGAAAGUUUCGGCGGUUGGGGAUGGACUCGCGGCUUAUCAGCUUGUUGGUGGGGUAGUGGCUUACCAAGGCUUUGACGGGUAGCCGGCCUGAGAGGGUGACCGGCCACAUUGGGACUGAGAUACGGCCCAGACUCCUACGGGAGGCAGCAGUGGGGAAUAUUGCACAAUGGGCGGAAGCCUGAUGCAGCAACGCCGCGUGCGGGAUGACGGCCUUCGGGUUGUAAACCGCUUUCGCCUGUGACGAAGCGUGAGUGACGGUAAUGGGUAAAGAAGCACCGGCUAACUACGUGCCAGCAGCCGCGGUGAUACGUAGGGUGCGAGCGUUGUCCGGGUUUAUUGGGCGUAAAGGGCUCGUAGGUGGUUGAUCGCGUCGGAAGUGUAAUCUUGGGGCUUAACCCUGAGCGUGCUUUCGAUACGGGUUGACUUGAGGAAGGUAGGGGAGAAUGGAAUUCCUGGUGGAGCGGUGGAAUGCGCAGAUAUCAGGAGGAACACCAGUGGCGAAGGCGGUUCUCUGGGCCUUUCCUGACGCUGAGGAGCGAAAGCGUGGGGAGCGAACAGGCUUAGAUACCCUGGUAGUCCACGCUGUAAACGGUGGGUACUAGGUGUGGGGUCCAUUCCACGGGUUCCGUGCCGUAGCUAACGCUUUAAGUACCCCGCCUGGGGAGUACGGCCGCAAGGCUAAAACUCAAAGGAAUUGACGGGGCCCCGCACAAGCGGCGGAGCAUGCGGAUUAAUUCGAUGCAACGCGUAGAACCUUACCUGGGUUUGACAUGGAUCGGGAGCGCUCAGAGAUGGGUGUGCCUCUUUUGGGGUCGGUUCACAGGUGGUGCAUGGCUGUCGUCAGCUCGUGUCGUGAGAUGUUGGGUUAAGUCCCGCAACGAGCGCAACCCUUGUUCACUGUUGCCGGCACGUUAUGGUGGGGACUCAGUGGAGACCGCCGGGGUCAACUCGGAGGAAGGUGGGGAUGACGUCAAGUCAUCAUGCCCCUUAUGUCCAGGGCUUCACGCAUGCUACAAUGGCUGGUACAGAGAGUGGCGAGCCUGUGAGGGUGAGCGAAUCUCGGAAAGCCGGUCUCAGUUCGGAUUGGGGUCUGCAACUCGACCUCAUGAAGUCGGAGUCGCUAGUAAUCGCAGAUCAGCAACGCUGCGGUGAAUACGUUCCCGGG
rnacentral:rRNA from 1 species